CCCUUAGACGUUCUGGGCUGCACGCGCGCUACACUGAUGCGAUCAACAAGUUUUUCCUAUGUCGAUAGACACGGGUAAUCUUUUGAACUCGCAUCGUGAUGGGGAUAGAUUAUUGUAAUUAUUAAUCUUCAACGAGGAAUUCCUAGUAGGUGCAAAUCAUCAGUUUGCAUCGAUUACGUCCCUGCCCUUUGUACACACCGCCCGUCGCUGCUACCGAUUGGUUGAUCUGGUGAAUUAUUCGGACUGCCGGCUGAAGGGGUUUCCUCAUCUGCCAGCGGAAAGUCUUGUUAACCCUAUCAACUAGAGGAAGCAGAAGUCGUAACA
rnacentral:rRNA from 1 species